rnacentral:rRNA from 1 species
CUACGGGUCGCUGCAGUGAGGAAUAUUGCGCAAUGGGGGAAACCCUGACGCAGCGACGCCGCGUGGAUGAUGAAGGCCUUCGGGUCGUAAAAUCCUGUCAGAAGGAAAGAAGUAUAUGGUAGCUAAUAUCUGCCAUAUUUGACGGUACCUUCAAAGGAAGCACCGGCUAGCUCCGUGCCAGCAGCCGCGGUAAUACGGAGGGUGCAAGCGUUGUUCGGAAUUACUGGGCGUAAAGCGCGCGUAGGCGGCUGUUUAAGUCAGAUGUGAAAGCCCAUGGCUUAACCAUGGACGUGCAUUUGAUACUGGGCAGCUUGAGUACUGGAGGGGGUGGUGGAAUUCCCGGUGUAGAGGUGAAAUUCGUAGAUAUCGGGAGGAAUACCGGUGGCGAAGGCGACCACCUGGCCAGAUACUGACGCUGAGGUGCGAAAGCGUGGGGAGCAAACAGGAUUAGAUACCCCAGUAGUC